UACCUUCUGGCAAUGGGAAAAGAGAUACCUUGUUGGUGUUGUUCUUAUAUCAGUCAGGGGCAGAGCAGAUGGCUGUCCUUUGUUCAUUCUAGCUUGAUGCCUGGUUUGAUGGCCAAAGCUGUCUUAUGCCUAGAACUCAUAA